AAAAGGAUGAAUGCUGUUGAUGACACAAGUGAUGAUGAUGAUGAUGAUGAUGAUGAUGAUGAUGAUGGAAAGUCAACUGCCAAGAAGCUGACCUCUAUUUCUGGUGAUGAUCUUGGAGAUUCGUUUGCUGAUGAUGAACCGAAAACUAAGCUGGAAUGGAUCCAACAGAUGUUAAGAAAAGAAAAUGAAAUCGAUGACGAUGACGAUGACGAUGAUGAUGAUGAUGAGGAUGAGGAUGAGGAUGAUGAUGAUGAUGAUGAUGAUGAUGAAGAGGGAGAAGAUGUUGAUGAUGAUGAUGAUGAUGAUGGAGAGGGAGAUGAUCUGGCAAGUGAAAUGCCACAAUCAUUAAAAGACUGGGAACAAAGUGAUGAUGAUGAUGAUGAUGAUGAGGAUGAUGAUGAUGAUGUGAAGUUGAAUGUAAAAGUAAAACCAAAGG
rnacentral:lncRNA from 1 species